AUUGAACGCUAGCGGCAUGCUUUACACAUGCAAGUCGAACGAGUGGCAGAGGGGUGAGUUAUAUAUCGGAACGUGCCCAGUAGCGGGGGAUAACUACUCAAAAGAGUGGCUAAUCCCGCAUACUAUUGUAUCGGCCGAUAUGGGAUUAGCUAGUGGGUGGGGUAAAGGCUCACCAAGGCAACGAUCCUGAGCGGGUUUGAGAGGAAGACCAUCCACACUGGGACUGAGACACGGCCCAGACUCCUACGGGAGGCAGCAGUGGGGAAUUUUGGACAAUGGGGGAAAGCCUGAUACAGCCAUCCCGCGUGUAUGAGAAGGCCUUCGGGUUGUAAAGUACUUUUGGCAGAGAAGCGGUAUCUGCAGAAUAAGCACCGGCUAACUACGUGCCAGCAGCCGCGGUAAUAC
rnacentral:rRNA from 1 species